CUGGUCAUCAUACAGUUAGCUUUCUCCUCUUGUAGUGGGUUUAGUAUCUGCCAAACAAGUUAGGAGUGUGUCUCUGACACUGUUAACUUAUAUCCUUCGGGAGGAACUAAAGAUUCUGUGACUGCUGUUGUCCUAAUCGUUAAGUGCUUGAACCUGUUCUUUUGUGACUCAGGGGAGGCCUGGGAGACUGCAGCUGUUUUACAAACAAGAGGAGGGGACAUGGAAGGGCCCUGCAGGUUCCUGCUUGGUUCCAGCAACCGAGAGAGUGAAGAAAUGUGGUUGGAUAAUCACAACGCCAUUCAGCAACACCUCGUUGGACAGCAAACAGGCGAAGCCGACUGGUAAUGACCACACACAUCAUGAUUGUGAGAAGACUUUCAUCUUUAUUAUAUUUCCCCAAAAGCUGCGUUACACGCUACUCCCUCCUCUUCUGAGCCCCUACACUCCACCUUCAAAUGCUUCUAGACUGGGGCCAGCAAGUGUCUAACAGAUGGGACCUCUAAUGUUCAUCUCAGGGGAGAUUUGAGUGAAAUGAUCUGAAAGUUGAGGUGGUGCCUUCCAAAAGGCUGGAACCUGAAGAAGCCCUGAUUUCUUGCUGUCGUGCCACAGACGCCUAGCAGCCCGCCCCGCUCCUAGGAGUGUGACACGAAAACUCUCUUCAGCUCGUUCUAGAAGAUGCUGUGUUGUUCCCGAUUGUCUGCGCACGAGGCUUCUCCCUUCCUUCCUCACGGCUGUGGUCAGUGUCUGCACUGACCUCGUGGUGAACAUGCUCAUCUCCCCUGGGCUCUGUGAUCUGGAAGUAAGAGAAAGAGCAAGGAUGUCAGAGUUCAAAGGGGCACCUGUCCAGAUAUAAACGUUUU